UACGGAGGGUGCAAGCGUUAAUCGGAAUUACUGGGCGUAAAGCGUGCGCAGGCGGUGAUGUAAGACAGAUGUGAAAUCCCCGGGCUCAACCUGGGAACUGCAUUUGUGACUGCAUCGCUAGAGUACGGCAGAGGGGGAUGGAAUUCCGCGUGUAGCAGUGAAAUGCGUAGAUAUGCGGAGGAACACCGAUGGCGAAGGCAAUCCCCUGGGCCUGUACUGACGCUCAUGCACGAAAGCGUGGGGAGCAAACAGG
rnacentral:rRNA from 1 species